rnacentral:tRNA from 1 species
GGAGGAGUGGCAGAGUGGUCGAAUGCACUGGUCUUGAAAACCAGAGCCUCGGAAACGGGGCCGUGAGUUCGAAUCUCACCUCCUCCG